UACGUAGGGUGCAGGCGUUAAUCGGAAUUACUGGGCGUAAAGCGUGCGCAGGCGGUCUCUUAGGACAGGUGUGAAAUCCCCGGGCUUAACCUGGGAACUGCGCUUGUAACUGAGAGGCUAGAGUGUGGCAGAGGGGGGUGGAAUUCCACGUGUAGCAGUGAAAUGCGUAGAUAUGUGGAGGAACACCGGUGGCGAAGGCAGCCCCCUGGGCUAACACUGACGCUCAUGCACGAAAGCGUGGGGAGCAAACAGG
rnacentral:rRNA from 1 species